rnacentral:rRNA from 1 species
UUUAAAUUGAGAGUUUGAUCCUGGCUCAGGAUGAACGCUGGCGGCGUGCUUAACACAUGCAAGUCGAGCGAUGAAGUUUCCUUCGGGAAACGGAUUAGCGGCGGACGGGUGAGUAACACGUGGGUAACCUGCCUCAUAGAGUGGAAUAGCCUUCCGAAAGGAAGAUUAAUACCGCAUAAUGUUGAAAGAUGGCAUCAUCAUUCAACCAAAGG